GUCGAGCGGUAGCACAAGGGAGCAUAGCAAUCCUGGGUGACGAGCGGCGGACGGGUGAGUAAUGUCUGGGAAACUGCCUGAUGGAGGGGGAUAACUACUGGAAACGGUAGCUAAUACCGCAUAACGUCGCAGACCAAAGAGGGGGACCUUCGGGCCUCUUGCCAUCAGAUGUGCCCAGAUGGGAUUAGCUAGUAGGUGGGGUAAUGGCUCACCUAGGCGACGAUCCCUAGCUGGUCUGAGAGGAUGACCAGCCACACUGGAACUGAGACACGGUCCAGACUCCUACGGGAGGCAGCAGUGGGGAAUAUUGCACAAUGGGCGCAAGCCUGAUGCAGCCAUGCCGCGUGUGUGAAGAAGGCCUUCGGGUUGUAAAGCACUUUCAGCGAGGAGGAAGGUGGUGAACUUAAUACGUUCAUCAAUUGACGUUACUCGCAGAAGAAGCACCGGCUAACUCCGUGCCAGCAGCCGCGGUAAUACGGAGGGUGCAAGCGUUAAUCGGAAUUACUGGGCGUAAAGCGCACGCAGGCGGUUUGUUAAGUCAGAUGUGAAAUCCCCGGGCUCAACCUGGGAACUGCAUUUGAAACUGGCAAGCUAGAGUCUCGUAGAGGGGGGUAGAAUUCCAGGUGUAGCGGUGAAAUGCGUAGAGAUCUGGAGGAAUACCGGUGGCGAAAGCGGCCCCCUGGACGAAGACUGACGCUCAGUGCGAAAGCGUGGGGGAGCAAACAGGAUUAGAUACCCUGGUAGUCCACGCUGUAAACGAUGUCGAUUUGGAGGUUGUGCCCUUGAGGCGUGGCUUCCGGAGCUAACGCGUUAAUCGACCGCCUGGGGAGUAC
rnacentral:rRNA from 1 species